AGAAAUGGUUUCGUUGGUGCGUUUUGAGUUAUGGUUUCGACGAGUCGAGACCGUGUGGUUAGGUUCUCACCCCCUACAGCUUUACCUUUUCAGGAAUCGGAUGAAGAAGCGUUAAGAAGAGUUAUAUUACGUUUGGUUGAUAUGUUGUUGUAUUAAUUAGAUUAUUUU